CCAGUAUUCCCAGUAUCCCUCUCCCAGUACCCCCAGUAUCCCCAGUGCCCCCAUCCCAGUAUUCCCAGUACCCCCCCCCCGCUGCCAUCACCGUGACGAGGCCACCAGCAGAUCCAAGACUUUUAUUUGGGAUCCUCCGGAAUCUUCUGGAACCCCCCGGAACCCUCCAGGAUCCUCUGGAAUCCUCUGGAACCCUUCCGGAUCCUCUGGAAUCCUCCGGGAUCUUCCAAAAUCCUCUGGAAUCCCCCGGGAUCUUCCAGGAUCCUUUGGAACCCUCCGGAACCUUCCGUGAUCCUCCAGAAGCCUCAAGAACCUUCCAGGACCCUCCAGGAUCUUCCGGGAUCCUCUGGAACCCUCCAGGACCCUUUGGGAUCCUCCAGGAUCCUCCAGAACCCUCUGAGACCUUCUGGGAUCCUCCAGGAUCUUCCGGGAUCCUCCGGAACCUUCUGGGACCCCUCCCCUAUUUCCGGCACCCCCCGCAGCCGUUCCCGUCCCUGGAGCCGGAUCCCGGAUCGGUUCCGGCCCCGGAUCCCUGGGAGGAUCCCUGGGAAGAUCCAGAGCCGGAUCCCGAACCGGAUCCCACUCCAGGUCCCAGUCCGGAUCCGGAGCCAGAUCCCGAACCGGAUCCCACUCCGGGUCCCAAUCCGGAUCCCGAGCCGGAUCCCAGUCUGGAUCCCAGACCGGAUCCCUGUGAUGAUCCCAGUCUGGAUCCCAGACCGGAUCCCAUUCCGGAUCCCGUUCCGGAUCCCGGUCCCCGGCGGAUCGGGAAGCUCCCCCCGAUCCGGGCCGGGUGCUGCAGCCCCGGCACAAAGGGGAUCCCGGGGUUUUUGUAGCCGGGGCGCUGCCGGGAUCCCCCGGAGGAUCCCAAAUCCCCCCCGGAGAAUCCCGACCCCCCGUAGGAUCCUGAUCCUCCUCCGUAGGAUCCCGAAUUUCCAUAAGAUCCCGAAUUCCCGGCGGAUCCCGAUCCCCCGUAGGAUCCCGAAUUCCCGGCGGAUCCCGAUCCCCCGGCGGAUCCCGAGUUCCCGCAGGCUCCGGAUCCCAGCUGGGGGCUGAGGAAUCCCAGGGGAUCCUUGCAGGGAUCG
rnacentral:lncRNA from 1 species